GGGCUGCAUGAGGUGUGAGAGGAUGGGGGGCAAUGCUGGCACUGAAAACCUCUUCCUGUGACUCUGAAUGGGGAGCCCCUGACGCAUGUAUUGCAUAAGUGUCCUCCCUGAAAGUGGAAAUAUGGCAACUACAUCUGUAAGAGAUUUCUACUGGAGGACUUUGUGAAAAUCUACCAGGACUAUGGGCCAGACUUGCACUGUUCACUGAUGACAAACUAAAGAAGUUACAACCACCUCUGAAGAAUGAGGAUAUUACGUUCAUAAGUUAACAGGAGUGCAAUGCAAAUCCAUGUGGCUAUUCCUUUAAUAAAAUCCUUCUCAACUAUUUUAGAGAACAAAAAGAAAAAGAAAAUCCUUUCCCCAUAUUUGUUUAUGUUGUCACCAGUUUGUAACAGUGAUGGGAACUAGACCUUUGCCUAGAAUGAAACCGGUAGGUAGGUGUGUGUGACCUUUUUUCUGUUUAGUUUUUUUCCAUUUGCGCCUACACUGGAGCCAGGAAGAUCUCUACAGUGCACCUAUUCCCACCUACAAUGUUUAGCCAGGUUUGAAGGACAUUAGAGAAUUUGAGUUACCCUCUACCUUAUUUGGUGAUAGGAUUGUGAUAACUGAAUACGUUUAUUUCACUUUUCUAGGUGUUUUCUACAUUUUAAAGGUGGCGCAUAGUUAAUAAUUAUUCUGUGCUGAGAGCAGGUUUACAAUCAUUUAAUCUUUCUUGUACUCAGUAAUCAUGAAAUUAAAGCACCAAGCAGAUUA